ensembl:lncRNA
UGCCAGAAUAACCCGUUGGUUUCUACACCUACAGGACUUUAAGUUUACAGUGGAACACAGAGCCGGAAGACUGCAUGGGAACGCUGAUGCCAUGUCAAGAAGGGACGACUGCCUGUGGUCUGCCGCUCCCCACCGUGGUUCGGAGCUGAGGGGGGGGGUAUGUGAUGGCCCAGCCGGUGAGCAGUGCCCCACAUGGCUGAGUGCAGCCAAACGAAGGCGAUUAAGAGGCAUGGUGUUGGAUGGGCGGUACUACCCCAGAGGUUUCUCAUAGGGAACUCCUCCCCACCCAGGUGUCUCUGGUUGUCCCUCCCAGGUGCACUCAAUCAAUCAGGCAAUCAGGAGCCUUUUUAAACUCAACCAGAGGAUACGGAAGCCAGACUGUCUUGCGCUACAGAGGAGUGAGAACCAGACGCCUUCCAAGACAGUCUCAGGGUAAGAGGCCCGCGGCCUGCUAUAUAUAUUACUGAAGACGAGUAAUCGCUCUCUAUCUCUCUCUUGUCUCAGGGAAGAGCCCGACGGAGCCCCUGACGCCAACGGCCAGACCGGUGAAGAUUUCUGAGUUACCUUUUUGCGCCCCCUCCCUUUUCCCCCUUCAGUUUGUACAAUAAACCUAAGUUCUGUUCACCGCAACUCCUGUGUCUGACUUCUCUUUUUCCACUUUGUGUACCCACUGUUUGCCCUUGCAAGGCCAGGCUCCCACAAUAUCUACAUUCAUAUUCAUGAAAUUUCUGUCUCAGAUAAUGAAUCGUAGUUGUAUCAUAUAUGAAAUGAAAAAAAAUAGAGUUGCCUGUUUCUGUUAAUAGAGACUAUCUUAACUAAGACUAGUUAAGAUCUAUUUUAUAAGACUAACUGAAUUAUCAGCUGUAAGCACUAAGUUGUGAUAGGUUGUGAUUGCUUAAUUGUUGUGGCUUGGUCAUGGGUAUGUCGUAUCUGUCACACAUGCUUUUGCCGCGUGUCGUCAUCAACAGCAGACAUUACGAGCAGAAGUCACAACAACAGCAGGUUCGAUCACGCCUGUUUUUAUUUGUCUACUCCUCCAUCAUAUUCAUGAAGAACAUGAAGGUGCAGCUGUUGAGUGCAGUGGUGAUGACCAAUGUCAAAGUGGCACAUCCUAAUUACAUACACAUCAGCCAUACAUGUCAAAUAUCCUCUCUUUGGUCCCCUUCUCUUUUUUUUCUUUUUCUCAGCAUGUCUAAUUGCUGCAGAAGAGGAGCCUUUCAGUCAUAAUUAUGUACCUGCUUAUUACACGAGGAAUAUGCCAACCCCCUAAUUUAUGCCAUAAUGCCCUGAAGAUAUUGAAGUUUAAAUGCCUGCAGUUUGAGUCAUUUGAUAAGGUGUUUGCCAUGGACACUUUACUGCUGAGGUGCCUUGUAACUAUGUUCAAUAUUAUAAUAUGGGGAGGUCACGUGUUAUUUACAGUUUCUAGGUAUAUCACAUGAUACAGCAUAACACAGCACACCAAAACACAACACA